rnacentral:misc_RNA from 1 species
AAAAAAUCCCCAAUUCAGUAUUUAUGCAUCAUCUUCAAGAACCUUCAACUCUUCUUCUUCUUCAGCUUCAAUAUUGGCCAGGAAAGUACUUUUUAUGGCGCCUGGAGUUGAACCAGAAGAUAUUAAGGAAGAUAUGAUUUUACCCGGAUCCAAUAUAGUUGUCGGACCCUAUGCAGGUGAUGCGAAGAUUAAAGAGGUUGAGUUUGUGAAGAGUAGUAAUAAGCCUAAAGAUUGUCCUAAAGAUGAAAGACCUGAAUUUGCUAUGUUGGGUCGGUCUAAUGUUGGCAAAUCAUCCCUUAUUAAUGCUUUGGUUAAGAAGAAAGAAGUUGCUCUUACUUCUAAGAAACCAGGGAAGACUCAGCUGAUUAAUCAUUUUUUGGUGAACAAGAGUUGGUACAUUGUGGAUUUGCCUGGUUAUGGUUUUGCUAAUGCGUCUGAAGCUGCUAGAAUGGAUUGGUCCUCCUUCACAAAAGGUUACUUUUUGAAUCGAGAUACCUUGGUGUCGGUUCUGCUUUUAAUUGAUGCUAGUGUACCCCCUCAGAAGAUUGACCUUGAUUGUGCUAAUUGGCUUGGACGCAAUAAGAUACCAAUUACAUUCGUUUUCACGAAGUGUGACAAAAUGAAGGGAGGGAAGGCGAAAAGGCCCGAUCAGAAUAUUAGAGAUUUCCAAGAGCUAAUCAGGCAGAAUUACAAUCAUCAACCUCCAUGGAUAAUGACUAGUAGUGUCUCUGGUUUGGGCAGGGAUGAGCUACUUCUACAUAUGUCACAGCUGCGAAACUAUUGGAACAACGAGUAGCUCACAACUAAAACAUCAGUGUUAUUUUAUGAGGAUAUUCAACCUGGUCCAAACAGAACGAUUAUCUCCAAAAAUGAAAACGUGGAAGGAAGGAUACUCUGGAGACGAUGCUGGAAACCUACGAGUAGAAUCCACAGAGUAGUUUUUGCAAAUAUUUAGCUAGCGUUUGGGUAUAAAUUUUGAAAAUUUAUCUUAAAUAUUUGUUUGAUGAUAGAAAUUGGUUCAUACAAUUGCCUUUGUGUUGUAA